GACAGAGGAUGCAAGCGUUAUCCGGAAUGAUUGGGCGUAAAGCGUCUGUAGGUGGCUUUUUAAGUCCGCCGUCAAAUCCCAGGGCUCAACCCUGGACAGGCGGUGGAAACUACCAAGCUGGAGUACGGUAGGGGCAGAGGGAAUUCCCGGUGGAGCGGUGAAAUGCGUAGAGAUCGGGAAGAACGCCAAGGGCGAAGGCACUCUGCUAGGCCUGAUUUCGCGACUGACACUCAGGGACGAGAGCCAGGGGAGCGAAUGGG
rnacentral:rRNA from 1 species